rnacentral:ncRNA from 1 species
AACCGCCGUAUACGGAACCGUACGUACGGUGGUGUGGGAGGGGGAGGCCGUGAGGCCUCUCCCUACCCGAU